GUGGGGAAUAUUGGACAAUGGGCGAAAGCCUGAUCCAGCCAUGCCGCGUGUGUGAAGAAGGCCUUUUGGUUGUAAAGCACUUUAAGCGAGGAGGAGGCUACCGAGAUUAAUACUCUUGGAUAGUGGACGUUACUCGCAGAAUAAGCACCGGCUAACUCUGUGCCAGCAGCCGCGGUAAUACAGAGGGUGCGAGCGUUAAUCGGAUUUACUGGGCGUAAAGCGUGCGUAGGCGGCUUUUUAAGUCGGAUGUGAAAUCCCUGAGCUUAACUUAGGAAUUGCAUUCGAUACUGGAAAGCUAGAGUAUGGGAGAGGAUGGUAGAAUUCCAGGUGUAGCGGUGAAAUGCGUAGAGAUCUGGAGGAAUACCGAUGGCGAAGGCAGCCAUCUGGCCUAAUACUGACGCUGAGGUACGAAAGCAUGGGGAGCAAACAGGAUUAGAAACCCCAGUAGUCC
rnacentral:rRNA from 1 species